CCGACAUUAUUUGCUUUUGAGGUUAUUUGUUUUGUGAUGAAAAAAACGAAAGUAGAUAUAAAUAUGUGUGAUUUGGAAUACUUGGAUGUGUUAGAAUACUAUUGAGAGUGUCCGGGGACCCAACAGAAUGCGUCAUCGACAAAAUCUCUUCAAAUUACCUGACGACAAUUUUCGAUAUAAAUAUCGAUUUACGUUUUUCGAAAUAAUAGUCAAUUGAAUGCAUGAUGAUAAUCCAGGAUGAUCCUAUGAUGCUCAACUGGGCUCGCCAUAAAAUUCAAGACUAUUUUGGCGUUUUGCACGCCGUAUCUCUGCCAGUAAUAUGCAAUGUUUGUAAAAGACUGGAAGCUUGCUAAAAUGUACAAAAAUGCCUAGAUGAGAAAGGGAACAAGAUUGUGUGAUGAAGAACAGUGUCCAACAUGUAUCAGUGCAUUUGACUGUAUAAAUAGACAUCGGAAUAAAAUAUAAUUUUCUACUUU